ACGGGAUAAACGCUGAAGGCAUCUAAGCGUGAAGCCCCCCUCAAGAUGAGAUAUCCCAUAACGUCAAGUUAGUAAGACCCCUUGAAGACGACGAGGUAGAUAGGGCAGAGGUGGAAGUGCGGUAACGCAUGGAGCUGACUGUUACUAAUAGGUCGAGGGCAUAACCAA
rnacentral:rRNA from 1 species